rnacentral:rRNA from 1 species
UACGGGGGGGAGCAAGCGUUGUUCGGAUUUACUGGGCGUAAAGGGCGCGUAGGCGGCCUCCGCAAGUCAGUUGUGAAAUCUCCGAGCUUAACUCGGAAAGGUCAACUGAUACUGCGGGGCUAGAGUGCGGAAGGGGCGAACUGGAAUUCUUGGUGUAGCGGUGAAAUGCGUAGAUAUCAAGAGGAACACCUGCGGCGAAGGCGGGUUGCUGGGCCGACACUGACGCUGGAGGCGCGAAAGCUAGGGGAGCGAACGGG